GAAAAAAUGUUUAGCUCAUGGAUGUGAAAUUGACUCUAGUAGGGAGUCCGUUUCAACGCGACUCCCUAAUCGAGUCAGGUUGACUUCUUUGAGUAUAUCUCAACAUUGAUUU
rnacentral:pre_miRNA from 1 species